rnacentral:rRNA from 1 species
GACGAACGCUGGCGGCGUGCUUAACACAUGCAAGUCGAGCGGUAAGGCCCUUUCGGGGGUACACGAGCGGCGAACGGGUGAGUAACACGUGGGUGACCUGCCCUCAGCUCUGGGAUAAGCCCGGGAAACUGGGUCUAAUACCGGAUAUGACUCCACGGUGCAUGUCGUGGGGUGGAAAGCCUUGUGCGGCUGAGGAUGGGCCCGCGGCCUAUCAGCUUGUUGGUGGGGUGAUGGCCACCAAGGCGACGACGGGUAGCCGG